GAUGAACGCUGGCGGCGUGCCUAAUACAUGCAAGUCGAGCGAACAGACGAGGAGCUUGCUCCUCUGACGUUAGCGGCGGACGGGUGAGUAACACGUGGAUAACCUACCUAUAAGACUGGGAUAACUUCGGGAAACCGGAGCUAAUACCGGAUAACAUGUUGAACCGCAUGGUUCAACAGUGAAGGACGGUCUUGCUGUCACUUAUAGAUGGAUCCGCGCCGCAUUAGCUAGUUGGUAAGGUAACGGCUUACCAAGGCAACGAUGCGUAGCCGACCUGAGAGGGUGAUCGGCCACACUGGAACUGAGACACGGUCCAGACUCCUACGGGAGGCAGCAGUAGGGAAUCUUCCGCAAUGGGCGAAAGCCUGACGGAGCAACGCCGCGUGAGUGAAGAAGGUCUUCGGAUCGUAAAACUCUGUUAUUAGGGAAGAACAAAUGUGUAAGUAACUAUGCACGUCUUGACGGUACCUAAUCAGAAAGCCACGGCUAACUACGUG
rnacentral:rRNA from 1 species